rnacentral:rRNA from 1 species
AACGAACGCUGGCGGCAUGCCUAACACAUGCAAGUCGAACGAGACCUUCGGGUCUAGUGGCGCACGGGUGCGUAACGCGUGGGAACCUGCCCUUAGGUUCGGAAUAACUCCCCGAAAGGGGUGCUAAUACCGGAUAAUGUCUUCGGACCAAAGAUUUAUCGCCUUUGGAUGGGCCCGCGUUGGAUUAGCUAGUUGGUAGGGUAAAAGCCUACCAAGGCGACGAUCCAUAGCUGGUCUGAGAGGAUGAUCAGCCACACUGGGACUGAGACACGGCCCAGACGACGGCGGGCGGCAGGGGGGGGUAUUAGGGGGAAGGGGGCGGAGGCCUGAUCCACCAGUGACGCGUGAGUGGAGAAGGCCCUAGGUUUGUAAAUAUCUUUUCCUCGGGAGGAGAAUGACCGUCCGGGGAAAAUACCCGCCGGCUACCCCCGUGCCAGCGGCCGCGGUAAUCGCCGGAAGAGCCCACGUCUGCCC